UAUAUAUAUAUAUCUAUGUAUAUCCCCUUAACGACCGUGGACGUAUUAUGUACGUUCGACAAAAAAACAGACGUUAAGGACCGCGGCGGUACCUAGUACAACCUUGGCAAAUAGGAGCCCUGGACUUACCUGGGCCGGCGAUCCGUGGCGAUCACGGUCGGGGGGGACUGCCGGAGACCCAAGCAUUGGGAAUUUUUUUUUUAUAAAAAACAAAUAAAAACAUUAACUUUGGCCAGCAUUUGUGACUAAGUGGCUACUACAAAAGACUGGAAAUACCCCAUUUGCAAAACCCUGGGUUGUCUACAUUUGAAAAUGGUAUGCCAUGAUGGGGCUAUUUACCAUUCAUGGGCUACCAUAUGGUCAGAAAAGGCAACACAGACCCAGCAAACCAAUCUGGCAAACUGAACUGGGCAAGCCUUAUUGACCCUGUACCUUUUCAAAACACCAUAAAACCUGUACAUGGGGGUUAUUGUUAUACUCGGGAGACUUCGCUGAACACAAAUAUGAGUGUUUACAACAGUGAAACCUAUCAUGAUGAUGAAAUCACCAAUAAAAGUGCAGUUUGUGUAUAACAUUUUUUUUUAUAAAAAUCAAAUAAGAACGCUAACUUUGGCCAGCGUUUGUGACUAAGUAGGAAAUACCCCAUUUGGAAUACCCUGGGUUAUCUACAUUUGACAAUGGUAUGCCAUGGUGGGGUUAUUUCACAUUCCUGGGCUACCAUAUGGUCAGAAAAGGCAACACAGACCCAGCAAACCAAUCUGGCAAACGGAAUUGGUCAAGCCCCAUAUUGAUCCUGUAACCCUGUAACUUUCCAAAACACCAUAAAACCUGUACAUGUGGGGUAUUCGGGGGUGUGCAAAAAUCCAAAUCACCUCGCUCUCCCUGCAGCCAGCACAGAGCAGGUAACUGGCAGUAAAGUCAACUGGCCUCCUCUGAUGAUGUCAGAGGAGGGGGCAUGACUUCCACUGCUUUAGUGAAUCUCCUGCCUCCAGCUCCUGUCUGGCCCGUCCCACCUAAUCACCAGG